rnacentral:tRNA from 1 species
AGCCACUCGGCGUGGCCGGCGCCGCGGCCGUCGACGACGGCCGUCACCCGGGCCGUGCCGGUGGCGCGCAGCCGUGCGAAACGGCGGGCGGCCG